UACGAGAGGCCCAAACGUUAUUCGGAAUCACUGGGCUUACAGGGUGCGUAGGCGGCUUGUUAAGUAGGGUGUGAAAGCCCCCGGCUCAACCGGGGAAUGGCGCCCUAAACUGGCGAGCUAGAGUGAGAUAGGGGUGUGUGGAACUUCCGGUGGAGCGGUGAAAUGUGUUGAUAUCGGAAGGAACGCCGGUGGCGAAAGCGACACACUGGAUCUUGUCUGACGCUGAGGCACGAAAGCCAGGGGAGCGAACGGG
rnacentral:rRNA from 1 species